UGGGGAAUCUUGGACAAUGGGCGCAAGCCUGAUCCAGCGACGCCGCGUGGGUGAAGAAGGCCUUCGGGUUGUAAAGCCCUUUCACCGGGGACGAUGAUGACGGUACCCGGCGAAGAAGCACCGGCUAACUCCGUGCCAGCAGCCGCGGUAAGACGGAGGGUGCUAGCGUUGUUCGGAAUCACUGGGCGUAAAGGGCGCGUAGGCGGCUGUGGCAGUCGGGUGUGAAAGCCCGGAGCUCAACUCCGGAAUGGCACUCGAGACGCCACGGCUGGAGGCCGGAAGAGGAGGGUGGAAUACCCAGUGUAGAGGUGAAAUUCGUAGAUAUUGGGUGGAACACCGGUGGCGAAAGCGGCUCUCUGGUCCGGACCUGACGCUGAGGCGCGAAAGCGUGGGGAGCAAACAGG
rnacentral:rRNA from 1 species